GAAACUCAAUGUCCCAAGUGCCAGUCCUUUGACAAUUGGAAUAUGGGAGCUUGAAUUAAGUAAUGAAGACAAAUGGAAUAUAAAUGAGCUUAGACUUCUUAGGAACCUAACUUCCAGAAAGGGUGACUUAUGAUUCUAAAUAUGAAAGUACAUUUCUAGUGUAUUUCCACAACAGUACUUAGAAGACCUGGGAUGUAAACAAAAAGUAAAGUAGAAGUCACUGGCACAGAUCUGAAACCAAGUUUUAUUAAGGGUCAGAGACUCCACCGGUUUCAAAGUGAGAUCAGCAUGCAGAUGAAAUUUUUAGACCAUAUUGAAAAAUGAAAAAUUGGACUCCUCAUCACUUUUUCCCAAGAGAGGAAAGCUGCCGUCAGCAGAGCCAAGGAAAGAAAACAGCAGUGAAAUAAUAUAGAAACCCAGGGAACAGCAGCUGAAAUGACCUUCUUGAAUUAUUGUGGCAUACAGGAAAGAGGAAGAAGGAAAAAGUCAUCUGAAGAAGUGUUCUUUCUAAGCGGUUCAUCUAUUCCACGUCCUUACAAAUAAUUCAACUGUGUUUAUUCUCAACCAAAACUCUGCUAUUAUUCUAAUGAUGGACAGCCUGUUCUUUACAGUUCUAUCAUAUUUCCUGAUCCGUGCCAAUUGCCUAGAUGGAGCUAUGAAUGUGGUCACAGUGAUAGGUGGCUGUGAGGGUUUUGUGAGAGGCAUUUUCUUCUGCAGGGCAGAUGAAGUGCUUGGAAUGGAGGAUUAAAAAAAUAGUAAAGCUCAUUUCCAUUGCAUUAUGUAUUUUGAUGUAUUUCUAAUGUAUUCCUUUUCAAAACUUAUCUUCACUGGAGUAGAGGUAAAGACAGAAUGAGCAACAGUUGCUGUUUCAUGCACAUCAAGUAGCCAUUUUUAAAACUCUUAAAAAUGCAGCAAAGCAAUUUAAAAAGAGCAAGUGGCAUGGUUGCUUUUUUUAAAAAAAUGUGUUUUCUCUGUAGCUACAUUUACCAGACUCAAGAUAUGCAAAUGAAACAAUAUAUGAAUUUGGCUAUACCAAUUUUCUUUCAAAACUGUCUAAUACAAAGAUAUUAAAUCCAUCUAUUUAUGCAUUAAAUCCAGAUUUCUUAAUACAGAGCCAGUACUUCUUUUGAAGUAAUUCAACAGGAUUGCAUUUUGUAUCAAGAUAUAUUUCAGAUGUUGAAAAGAUUCCAUUUUCAACAAUACUUUGGAUCAACAAUAGUUUUAUUAAUCAUUAGUCAAACAUGUUUUCUUCCCUUAAAGUCCUCUCCUUGGCUUUCUGUAGUACCUGAGAAAUUUCCAAGUAAGUGAGAAUUUGCCUUGCCUAUUGAAGUCAAAUUAUUUUAUGUGUUUGAAUUACAAAUUGAAGGAGGCUAUGGUUUUAUUGACUCACUUUUGUGUUCAAAUGCAAAAGUUUUUGAAAUCAUUCUGUGCUCAUAGUCUGUCAUUGCUCCUUCUGAGUCCCCUUCUCCUCUUUUGAAGUCAUUGUUGUAUAAAGAUGAAAAAAAGACAUGUCCUAUUAGCUAAAUCAAUAUUGAUAUUCAAGAAAAAGGUCUAAAAUAAUUUCUAAAGAGCUAUUCUCACAUAAAAAUAAAUCAUCUUUGGUAACGUAUUUUUUAAAAGAGUUUGGCUUUUACGUUUAUGCAAGACUGACUUCUUGCUAAGCCUUUACUCCAAGACAUUUCACAAUGGAGGUCCCCAGUGUUUGUCCUUGUCAUUUUAUAGGAUUAAUUUGAUACAUUGUCAUUCACCUAACUGCCUUGUACCUCUUGUUAGUACACAAUCCCUAACUAAGCCUGAGUAUUUGUUCUUCAAACUUUCUAAAAUGACUCUUCCGUUCACUCUCAGGAUGUAUCAUUUAUCAUACCUUCAAUGGCUGGAGAAAACAUACUCUCUUUAUGGGCUUUUAAAGCUCUGAAAAAUCAUUUGUUAAAGGAGAGGUUUCAAAGAAAGUAUUGUCUUUCUGGCUUAAAGUUUAUGCUUUUUCAUCACAUACCAUAAAGGGAGCACAUUUAUAAUCAUAUUUUUUAAAGAAGGUAAAGGAAUGGAAUUUUAAUCUGAAUGCUUAGAGGGAAGAUGAGAGGCAGCAAGAAGACAAAAGCAAAAUGGGAAAGCCAAAGCAGUAAGAAAGGAAAGAAACCUCAGAGAUGAAUCGUAGCAAAGAAAUAUGUUUAUCAUUACUCUCAGAAUAUAUAGAUUUUUAACUAAAAUAUUAAGUCCUCUGAAAUGUUCCAAAAACAUGAAAAUCUGAAAUUGAUUCUUACUCUUGAAUUCAAGGAUUAGCAUUUCAUGAGCUUCUGCCCCCUCUUGGUGAAUCUUUCCUUACUAACAUUAGUUAUCAAGACACUUGGCAUUUUUUCACAGCAUGCAUGAGUCACAACACAGAC
rnacentral:lncRNA from 10 species